CCUACGGGGUGCAGCAGUGAGGAAUAUUGGUCAAUGGACGAGAGUCUGACCCAGCCACGUAGCGUGAAGGAUGACUGCCCUACGGGUUGUAAACUUCUUUUAUAAAGGAAUAAAGUGAGGCACGUGUGCCUUUUUGUAUGUCCUUUAUGAAUAAGGAUUGGCUAACUCCGUGCCAGCAGACGCGGUAAUACGGAGGAUCCGAGCGUUAUCCGGAUUUAUUGGGUGUAAGGGGAGCGUAGAUGGGUUGUUAAGUCAGUUGUGAAAGUUGGCGGCUCAACCGUAAAAGUGCAAUUGAUACUGGCAGUCUUGAGUACAGGUGAGGUAGGCGGAAUUCGUGGUGUAGCGGUGAAAUGCUUAGAUAUCACGAAGAACACCGAUUGCGAAGGCAGCUUACUAAACUGCCACUGACAUUGAUGCUCGAAAGUGUGGGUAUCAAACAGGAUUAGAUACCCGAGUAGUC
rnacentral:rRNA from 1 species